AUGUUGUUAAGGUUUUCUCAACCCUCAUGAUGUCAUAGUUCUCUGAAAGUCUUAUAUAGAGGGAGACCCCUUCUUUUGCUAAAGAACUUCAAGCAGCCUUCAAACUCUCCUACAGUGCAACAGAUCAGCACAACAUCAGCCUUCAGCCAUGAAGACCCUUUUCCUUCUUUUUGCUGCUGUCUUGUUCUUCAGUCAAAUUAUUCCAGGAAAUACUCAGGCUGCACCUGAUACCAUGGAAUGCAAGAGGAGUCACCAUGGGUUCUGUAAAUACCAGUACUGCCCUGGGCAGACUGUGCCUACUGGAGGGACGUGUCAGUGGAGAACCCUGAUUUGCUGUAAAUCUCCUUGGAGCCGGAGAGGGUGAUCAAGUCAACCAUAGACAAAGCAAGACUUCUGGAUUCUGGAGAAAUACAUGCCUACUUUGGAAACUGGUGGCCUCAGCUUCAAAGUCAAGCAUAAGGAGCUACUUGUUUGGACUGUAAACAGACAUAAUGUUCUGCAAAGAAAUUCACACCUUUCCACCCGAUCCUCCCCUUCUACACUUAUCCAAUUUUUGACUUGAGGAGAAAUUUCAGAAAGUAUAAGUAAAUCAGCUAGAGUUCUCUACACAGAAUUUUGGAAAUGAAAGUCAAUCCCAAAUUGAGAAAUAAUCAGAUAAAUUUUAGAAACAGGCUGUAAUAUCAGAAAGUACAGAUUAUGGAUAGUUUAAACAAAGAGAGGCAAAAUGGAAGGGAAAAGAGAGAUUUCAAAACUUUAUUUGUUUUUCUGGUAUUCUGUGGAAGAAAGUUACAUUUUUACUUACAAAUGAUAAAUUACAAAGCUAGUA